rnacentral:rRNA from 1 species
CCUACGGGUGGCACCAGUGGGGAAUAUUGGGCAAUGGGCGCAAGCCUGACCCAGCAACGCCGUGUGAGGGAAGAAGGUUUUCGGAUCGUAAACCUCUGUCAAAGGGGAAGAAGUGGCAGAUAUUUAAUAUAUAUUUGCUUUGACGGUACCUUCAGAGGAAGCACCGGCUAACUCCGUGCCAGCAGCCGCGGUAAUACGGAGGGUGCGAGUGUUAUUCGGAAUCACUGGGCGUAAAGCGCGCGUAGGUUGCGUGGUAAGUCGGAUGUGAAAGCCCCCGGCUCAACUGGGGAACUGCAUUUGAAACUGCCAGGCUUGAGUACGACAGAGGGUGGCGGAAUUCCCGGUGUAGGGGUGAAAUCCGUAGAUAUCGGGAGGAACACCAGUAGCGAAGGCGGCCACCUGGGUCGAUACUGACGCUGAGGUGCGAAAGCGUGGGUAGCAAACAGGAUUAGAUACCCUCGUAGUC